rnacentral:rRNA from 1 species
UACAGAGGGGGCCAGCGUUAUUCGGAAUUAUUGGGCGUAAAGGGCGCGUAGGCGGCCAUGCGUGUCUUCCGUGAAAUCCCUCGGCUUAACUGAGGACGUGCGGAAGAAACUGCAAGGCUUGAGUCCGGGAGAGGGGGGUGGAAUUCCCAGUGUAGCGGUGAAAUGCGUAGAUAUUGGGAGGAACACCGGUGGCGAAGGCGGCCCCCUGGACCGGUACUGACGCUGAGACGCGAAAGCGUGGGGAGCGAACAGG